CAUGAUUUAGUAGUUCGAAAUGUGUUGCUAUGCUGACAGAUCGUGGGAAUUGCGCUUUCUCUGCGAGCAGUUACCACACUCAGUAAACAGCAGUGGCUAGUGAAAGGAGAGCCCCAAUAUGGGGAAUGUUGGUUGCUACAAAUCGUAUUCUUUGCAGAAAUCGACUUUCUCGGUUUCGUGAUGCAACUAUUAUACAAGACGACAGAGAUCAAGGAAUAUGAACAAUCCAGGACAUUUGUUGUUGUGAAUUCAGUUAAUAUGUAGUGGUGAGCUAACAUUUAGUGGUGGAAGUUUUGAUUGAUGUCUACAGUCAAUGUUAUUAAUUAAAUUUAUAUAGUAAAUGUCGAUUGAUUAUUGCAGUUAAUAUUUAUUGAUUUAAUACAUUUCAUAUUUCUUUGAUUAAUUAACACAGUCAAUAUUGUAAAUAGAGUCAACGUAACUUCUUUAUUCUGGUUGUUGCAGAUUCUAGAUGAGUAACCUGGAUAAUUUCCAUUGUUGCACCUGCCAGAAGACGAAUUACAUGUGUGGUUUAGGCAUAAGUCACCUAUGUUUUGAUUAAUUAACAUUUUCUGGAUCUCGAUAAGUUUAUCUUUCGAGAUUCUCCAGAGUUACACAGAAAGUGCCUUUUCUUCAGGGAGCUGCCGUGACCAGUUUUCUGUAGAAAUGAGUGCAACUAAGUUUGUAUAGCUGCAUUGCAUUUUGACUCGUAGUGCUUUUAGCUAUUGUACUUUGUACAUUUGAUAGAUUAUUUACAGGAUCUUUUGGGAGACCAGCCAUGCUGAAAGAGAUUUCUGAAUAAAUUUGCAAC